AGACAUUCACUCUUCUGAAUCUAUUCCAAGCUGCACUGCCAAGAUGAAAGUUAAACUGCUUCAGUGCUGUAAAACUCUAGAAUAGACCUCAAGAUAUACCAACUUUGUCAUUGGACAAGACAUGGAAUUCUUACCUUAUUAAGCCAUAAGAAUUUAGAAGAGUCAAGAAAAUGAUGUUGGAAUCUUGCUAUCAAAAUAUGAAUGAAACAUCCGACUCUUCUGAAGUACUUCUGACCUCCAGGUUGAUGGCUGUUAAAAAGUUUGGACAGUUUGAACUCCCCCGUCCUGUUUACCAUUGACUCUUGUUGCGAGGUCAGUUGCAUCGUAGAUGGGAUCAAGUCAUCA
ensembl:lncRNA